AACUGUUGCCUUUCCCUGGGGCCUGAGGAGACUGUGCCUUGAAUGUGAAUCUUUCAGAGAGGCUCCAUGCUGUGUCCCUGAGUGGGGUCAGGUCUCAGCC
rnacentral:miRNA from 14 species